UUUGUUGGAAAAUAGGAGUAAAUAUCUCUUUUAAUGUGAGUGUGUGAGUGUGUGAGAGUAUGAGAGAGAGAGAGAGAGAGAGAGAGAGAGAGAGAGAGAGAGAGAGAGAGAGAGAGAGAGAGAGAGAGAGAGAGAGAGAGAGAGAGAGAGAGAGAGAGAGAGAGAGAGAGAGAGAGAGAGAGAGAGAGACCAGAGUCCAGAGUCCAGCGUGCUCAACUUGCAGCGUCUCGGAUGGUUUGGUUUGGAUGUGUGCAUGGAUGUAAAGCCUGCUCCUCUCUUUCAGUGAAUGCAUAGAUGAUGAUAGAUCGUUCGGCUAAUUGAUACAGGAGGAUACAGCUGCUGGCACACAUUACAGUGUAAUUCCUGCUCGCGGUAUGGACGGGUUGCAGGCGGAAAAUCCUGGAGUUGGCGGCAUCCGGGGAAACGCGGAGGAGAGGUAUCGCGCUCUAGCCUAUGACACUGCUCUGAGCACUUUGGUGGCAGUGGCCGUGUAUGUGGUGGUGAAAGUGAGCCUGGACGGCAUCAGACAGUGGCGGGCCAGCAUCUCUGUGCUCAUCGUGGGUUCGGGACCUGUGGGGCUGACGGCCGCGCUGGUCGCUGUCCGCUCCGGUAAGGUGCUGAAACUGACCGUGCUAGAUGAGAGGUACCGGACUGCCCUGCUCUGCCGACCCCAGCAGAUCGCUCUGGAUCCCUGGAGUGUGAAGUUUCUGCUGGGACUCGGGGUGGACUUUGAUAACAUGGAGGGAUGUUGGCACAACGAGCAUUUCUUCACCAGGAUAGGCGUGUUUCAGGAGUACCUGCUGAGCAUCCUGGAGCAGAAGAAACAGAAGGUGGACGUCAAGGUGCUGCUGGGAACCAAGUUUACAGAGGAAUAUCUGCGACGUAUCCCUCGGAAUGAGUGGCCACGAGUGAUUGUGGUGGCUGAUGGGUCGUGUGGCGACUCCUGCUCGGUGCUGGGCAUCAGCUCUGACUACACUGUGGAGACCUGCCAUGCCUAUGGAGCUAAUGCAACUAUAGAGAGACCAGACCAGAGGCAGGUACCCACUCCUGAGAUCCGUGCCCACAGCCUCUAUUUCGACCUGUCCGCUUACGGAAUGGAGGCCCUCCGAGAGCACAGAAAUCCCACGGCCAAACCUGGCUUCCACCUGAAGAUCUAUGGCACGUUCAGAAACCGCUACAUGGCCCUCGUCUGCCACGCCUCUGACACCAAGAUGGUUCGCUUCCUCCGGCACACGGCCAACUCCUCUAUCAUGAAGAACAUUUUCCACCAGUCCUUCAAUGUCUAUAAGACGGACAUAGAGCCUCGUCUCAACGACGUGACGCUCCACCACAUGCAGUGCAGCCGUCGUCUUUUUGAGAUUCAGUUGUCACACAGACGCAUCAGCGCUGCCUACAUAGAGGGGGACAAUGUGGCUGUCACUGUAGAAGGGGAGGCAGCACGCGUCCUCAACUUCGACACAGGUUGUGGGGUGAAUCUUGGCAUGCGGGGUCUGGAGUCAAUGGGGACGUUCAUUUACCGGACAGCCACCGCUGUGGACCAGAAUGAUAUUCUAGAGGCACUGUCGGCUAAGAUGAAGCACUCCAGACAGAUGGCUGAGACCUUCAAGCAGACAGGCCUGGCUCAAUCAAUGUAUGAAUAAAACACGAGGACGACCUGGUGAAUGCACAAUGCCACCUAGUGGUGGAUUAUUUGUGUGUACAGUAUAUGUUUACAAUGAAUCAUGAGUCGGAUGCUGAAAUGGACCACUAAUGGUUACAUACUGAAUGGAGCGAGUGUGAGCAGUCACAAGAUGGAUAAUGGAUGUAAACAUGAGAGACCAUAAGUCUUUGUGACAUACAAUGAGCGGAUCUAUGGAUGGAGCGAGAAUAGUCAAGGACACAUUUGGUACAAUUUGCAGGUUGCAAAGCUUGUGAAUACAGCAAACUGUGGCGGAAAGAGAGAUAAUAUGAUCUUUUACUGUUGCAAUGACACAUUUCACUCUUUAUGAGAAUGUAGUGGAAAGAAAUCUAGCCCUAAGAGAUUAGGAGUAGUUGGACUAAAUGAAAAUUCAGUGAUCCUUGUCAUUUUCAUCACUGUAAUCUUCUCCUUUUAUUAGAGAAAAUAUUGUCUUGAUUUCCAAAAUCUAGCCAAUUGUGCAUUCUGGACAUCAAUGGUGCUAGAGGAAAUGAAACUGUGCCGUAGCAUCAUCAGCCAGAACUGAAUAAUGUGUAAUACGGUUAUUGUCCAUGAAUGAACAGAGGAACACACAUCAGGUGAAGUCCAAAGUGUUAUUAUGAAGCCUUUUGUCUUCAUGGUUGUUCGAUACAGUGGUGAUAAUUGUGGUGAUGAUGUUCUAAAGUAUUUGCUAGAGUGGCCUUUGUUUGUGUGGAGACUUUUUAGUGUAUUUCAAAAGGGUACUGCAACCAUACUAUGGGCCAACGGUCAUAUCACAAUUUCAUUUUUACUGGUGUCACAUUUUCACUCUCCUUUUUAUAUUGUGAUCCAAAAGUAUCAUCACAAAAACUAUGACUACUAAAAGUAUAUUAUUUCAGAUUAAUGACAGUAUGCUGAUAAUAUUGUCCUAAUUCUUUUGAAGUGCCAAUAAAGAUGCUGAUUUGGCAAGAGUGAUAUGGAUAGUCUUUACAUGAAACCCUUAAUUUAAUAAAUAGUAAAAGCAACCUAAAUGUAGUUGCUUGUCAGUGCUCUUACAAAUUGUGUUAAUGUAAAUAUAUAAUAGUAUACUACAAUGACAGCCUCAAACACAGACUUAUCUGUUCUGUCAGUAUCUAAAUACUCUGGAAGUAUCAACAUUUCUUACAAACUGCCUUGUGAAAAACUAACACUGUCUUCAUAGUGUGAGCUGCACACUAUGAAGACAGUGUUAGCACAUUGUUGCCGUAAUGGCUGAUAUGAGGCAGUACUGUCCUCUAGUGGUGCAACCUGUCAGUUGCAACACCUCUCACUCCUGUUUGUAUAAGAAGGAUGAUUCAUUUGGUAUUUAUUGUAUGAUUUGAGCAAUCCCUCAAAGAUUGCUGAAAUGAUUGCUAUAGUAAAGUUCACAGGUCACCAAUGGAACUGGCAGGACACACUAUCUCUCUCUUUGGAGGCUUUAUUAAUACAACGAUUGGGAAACUUAAAUGUUGUUUGUGAAACCCUUAUUUUAUUUUCAUUUUCUUUCCAGCACAAUAACUCCUCUCCUCUCCUCU
rnacentral:lncRNA from 1 species